AUGUUACCGAUCAAGAAUACAUGUACCAAGGACCUACUUGCAACGCCUGGGGACUUGCAUGCAAACCCCAGGGACCUGCAUGCAAUCAGAAGAAGACCAAGGGUCCCACCCCCACAUGCGUGGCUCCCGCCUGAGAAUCAUGAUGCAAAGUUCAAUGUAGAUGCAGGCUUUUCGAAGGUUGGUGAUCACGCGGCGGCAGCAGUCGUAUGCAGGGACAAAGGAGGAAAGUAUUUGGGAGCCUCGGCCAUCAUCUACGACGGUCGCCUCGACCCAACCAUCCUCGAAGCACAGGCAUGCUGCCAGGCGCUCCACCUCGCCGCAGAUCUGCAGGUUCAAUCAUUUUGCGUGGCUUCUGAUUGCCUGGAGGUAAUAAGGAACAUCCACGAUGAAGUCCCUUGUCGAUAUUUUUCCAUCCUUCAUGAUAUCAAGCACGAGAGAAACCACUUUGAAGAUGUAAAGUUUCUUCAUGAGAAUAGAAAGCACAAUGGAGAAGCACAUGCUUUAGCAAAGGCAGCAGCCUCUCUUAGCACCGGGCGCCAUGUGUGGCUUAGUAUUUUGCCCGACAUAAUCUGUAUCCCCAUGUGUUUGAACUUCUAA
rnacentral:rRNA from 1 species